CUACGAGUGGCUGCAGUGAGGAAUAUUGCACAAUGGGGGGAACCCUGAUGCAGCAACGCCGCGUGGAGGAUGACGCAUUUCGGUGUGUAAACUCCUUUUAUAUGUCAAGGAAAUGACGGUAGCAUAUGAAUAAGCACCGGCUAACUCCGUGCCAGCAGCCGCGGUAAUACGGAGGGUGCAAGCGUUACUCGGAAUCACUGGGCGUAAAGGACGCGUAGGCGGGUUGGAAAGUCAGGUGUGAAAUCCUACAGCUUAACUGUAGAACUGCACUUGAAACUUCUAAUCUAGAGUAUGGGAGGGGGAGAUGGAAUUAGUGGUGUAGGGGUAAAAUCCGUAGAUAUCACUAGGAAUACCUAAAGCGAAGGCGAUCUCCUGGAACAUUACUGACGCUAAGGCGUGAAAGCGUGGGGAGCAAACAGGAUUAGAUACCCGCGUAGUC
rnacentral:rRNA from 1 species